rnacentral:tRNA from 6 species
GGCGCGAUAGCAAAGUGGUUAUGCAGUGGAUUGCAAAUCCAUCUAGAGCGGUUCGAUUCCGCUUCGCGCCUCCA